rnacentral:rRNA from 1 species
UGGCUCAGAACGAACGCUGGCGGCGUGGAUUAGGCAUGCAAGUCGAACGGGACUUAUGUUGUAGCAAUACUUUAUAAAGUCUAGUGGCGUAAGGGUGAGUAACACGUGGGUAACGUACCCGAUAGUUUGGGAUAACGUUCCGAAAGGGACGCUAAUACCGGAUGUGAUGUUAAAACGCUGGUUUUAACAAGAAAGGUGGGGACCGCAAGGCCUGCCGCUAACGGAACGGCCCGCGACCUAUUAGCUAGUUGGUGGGGUAAAGGCCUACCAAGGCGAGGAUGGGUAGCCGAACUGAGAGGUUGACCGGCCACACUGGGACUGAGACACUGCCCAGACUUCUACGGAAGGCUGCAGUCGAGAAUCAUUCACAAUGGACGAAAGUCUGAUGAUGCGACGCCGCGUGCGCGAUGAAGGUCUUCGGAUUGUAAAGCGCUUUGAACAGGGAAGAAUGCCGCGUAUUUAAUAGAUAACGCGGAGGGACAGUACCUGACAAACAAGCCCCGGCUAAUUUCGUGCCAGCCGCUGC